ACAUUAUGAAGCUUAAUGCGUUAACCUUUUAAGUUAAAGUAAGAGAAUAGCCCUUCUCCAUAAUGAU
rnacentral:tRNA from 1 species